rnacentral:lncRNA from 1 species
ACGGAGAUCGACAAGUUCAAAGUUUGGCCGGAGCUUUCGAGGCGUUUUCCGGCGAAUCCCCGGCGAGUUAGGAGUCGAGGUAGGUAUAAAUCUCUUCGUCUCGUCAAGUACUACAACUUUCCUUUUUGUUUCACUCAAUUUCGUUGAGUAUUGAAGAAGUUAUACUCAUUUGAAAAAUACCCAGUUUCCGGCGACCUCCGAGGCUUUCGAUGAAUUUUCCGGCCAAACCACGGCGAACUAGGUGUUGUGCAAGGUACCAUUCUCUUUGUCUCUUCAAGGGCUACAACUUUCGUUUUUGAAUCACUUGAUUUCGUUGAGAAAUGACAAAGUUAUGGCAAUUUGAAAAACUGCCCGGAAAACGGCCGCCGGAAAAACCAGUCCGGCGACCCAAGGAAGAAGAAGGUGCUACAGUAAAAAUAAAAAAUAAAAAUAAAAUUAUUUUAAAAAUAUGUCGACGUCCGUGACGUCGAGUAGAUCACUGUGGUAUAUUCAUAUACCUAAAUUGAACACCGUAUGAGAAAGUUAUUGAGGAUUGUUGGUUAGGUGUUCAAAUAACGUUUUUAUAGUUUUCACAUUUAGGUGAAAAUGUGAAUUGAUGAUCCGACCGUUGGAUCGUCACCAAACUUUGAUACGUUGUAAUACGUAAUAUUUGAGGAUUAUUGGAACUUACGGAUUGGGAAUCCGAGUUACGGAUCUUCCGGAAUUGGAAUUGUAAGUCCAUAAUAUAAAAUGUUAACCGUCACUUAGUUUUGGAAAUUGACGGAGACCCGACCGUUGGAUGGUAAUGAAAUUUUAGGAUGUUGUCCUAGAGGUAUAAUGUGGACCUCUGGAAGUUAUGGAUUUAAAAUCUGAGUGGCAGAUCUUCCGGAUCGAUCAACGUAGUGACGUAUUUUAUAUAAGUUAUGUAUUCUAUCGAUAUGAAUUCUGAGCCUGGAUUUGAUUACUAUUCUAGGCGGCGAUCGUCAUGACGCCUUGAUGUGUGGUGCUAGGGAGUUGUUGGACGAACUCCAGGUGAGUGGGCAGUUUUGUUUUCCGUAUAUAUAUAUAUACUUGACGUUUCCCAGAAAUUGAAUUGAAAUGAAAAUAUGUUUAAAAUGAAAUGCAUAUGAGUUAUGUGGAAAAACGGGAAGUGAAAUACCAUGCAUAGAAUUGAUAUGAAAAGUAUAUAGAAAUGUGAGUUGAAAUGCCAUGCAUGAAUUAAUAUAUGAUGCAUAUGUAUGAAUUGGUGCGGUGGACGCACAGGUAAGAAUUGAUUUAUGAUGCAUAUGUAUGAAAUGGUGCGGUGGACGCACAGAUGAGUAUUUAAUUACUGUUAUGAUGAUGAUGAUAUAUAUUGAGCUCAAAUCCUGCACCAUGGUUUAGUGCUUAUAGUAUUCACCGCAUCGCACGCUCGCCUUGGAUCCAAGUAGAUGCUAGUCGUACAGUCCACGCGGAGUGGGUACGACAGACCAGUCGCGAGAGUGUUAGUGAGAUUCCGACUGGUGGGUGACCUUAGAUUAUGUGCACAGAUGAUUUAUGAGAAGCACUAGAGCGUAACUUGCGUGCAGAAGGCCGGACGGGUCACAGAGGUGACUCCGGUAGAGUGAUAAUGAUAGAUUUUGAGCUCUAGGUUCAACCGUACAGGGCUAUUAGAGGGCCUACGGUUGAUUACUUUCUUGCACCUGAUAUGAUUAUGUUGAUGCAUUCAUACCUUAUUACUGUUGAGAUGAUGUGGCAUGGCAUAAUUAAUAUGAGAAUGUUGAGAUGAUGUGGCAUGGCAUAAUUGUUAUGAAAAUGUUGAGUUAACGACUUGAAGUCUUGAGAAUAUAUAUGUAUAUUUAUAUUUUACAUUUCUGGGAAAGUAUACAGGUUUUACGGAGAGGGGUUACAACGUUUUGAGAAAUGUUUGGAUUUGGAAAAAGAAUUGUUUUACUGACCCACUCAAUUUUGGUUUUGCGCCCCUCCAGGUUCAGGAAUCACAAAGGUGUGGUGACUACGAGGAAUUCGACGGUGUUCUGACAGAUUGGACAAAAUUAGGACUCACCUUCGGGUGUAUCAACUUAUAAAUUGUAUCUUAAAGCUUCCGUACUGUGCAAAUGGUUACGUCACUCUCACGUGACGGCCAACAUGCCCUCCUUCGGGACGGGGUGUGUCAGUUGGUAUCAGAGCAUGGUUGCAAUCUUGGACAUCUUGAGAAGUCCUAGUGAAUUCUGUCAGAACUACACCGCCUCGUAGCAAGCCACGUAGUUAGAGGAACUUAGUCUCCCUGAUUUAGCGGUUUAGGGGGGAAACUAUUACUAUGGUGAUUCAGUCUAUUGUCUAAAGGGACAUUUUAAGAUGGGUAAUGAGUUGAACUUGAAUCACCUUAUGAAAUGAUGAACCUGAGAGAGCGAAAGUAACGGUUUAACCAUUUUGGAAAAGAUGUUUCAGGUUAUGCAAGUCAAAGGAAAUUUCCUUCUGACAAGGGGUCGAGACGACUACCUGGUUUUGGUUAUGAAUUUGUAUCCUGGUGGAAACAGGAGUAUGAAUUGUUGUCACCAGAGGAAUCAGUCGAUUGAGAAUUGUUUAAGGACUUGUUUAAAGGAAAAGUUUAUCCCUCCGGCAUUUAUCGAUGGUAGUAAACAAGAGUUUACAAAUAUGAGACAAGGAAGGUGAUGAUCGAGGGAUAUUAUAGAAAGUUUUCAGACUUGCCUCGUUCCAUCCAGAUAUGGUUGUUAAUUUGGUGGAGGUGUUAUGUUGUUUUAAGCUGGGUGGCAAAAAGGGAAGUGGUAUUUUGGGUGACCACUAUCCAUUAUACUUCUUACCAGGAAUAUACGAGAUGCUGUUGAGUCUUGAGGACUCUGAGAACAUGAUCAACGAGAAUAAAGAAGAAUAAGAAAUGAAUGGGAAUUUAAAAGAAGACGAUAAAGUUAAUGAUUCGUCUUAUCAAGGAUAUAGAAAGAUUCAGAGCUUCGAAAGAAGUGAAGCUAGAGUUAAUUCUUCCAGCUGAGGUUUUAAUGUCGCUGGUCAGAGUAAAAGUGAUGGAUAUACUGGUAAUCCCAGAUAUUUGAGACAAGGUGUCUCGAGUAAAGGAAAUGUACUUUGUGCAGCAGGUACAAAAUUAACACUUUGGGAAGUGUGAAAUUAAUGCAUGUGUUUAUGUGAACAGAUGGGACACAGAAUUGUGAAUCGUCCCUAGAAUCAGUUGUACUCAACAAUUUUCCAUGAUAUCAUAGUGUCGAUUCAGCAGAGUUAUGGACUUAGUAGUUUGGUCGGAUUGACCGUGAGUACAAAGAGAUUUGAUGAGUAUAUGUUCAGCUGUACAGACCAUGAGAAGUGGAUUCGACUGACACAUGAGAAAUUGGUGAGUUAUAGGCUCGGCCGUACCGACCACGCGGAGUGGAUCCGGCCGACGUACUAUUGAGAUAAGAGUUGAAUCAGUCGUAUUGAUCAUUCUAGUUGACUUCGGCUGAUAUAUUUCUUAUUAUGUAUGUUAUUACCUUGAGAGUAGUAAAUAAAUGUAGUUGAGAUGAGUGUAUGUAUUUUGCAUUGAGUGACAAAAUAGUAAUGUUAUAUCUUUGAGAGUGGUUGCCUACUUAUCGAGACAACGAUGAUUUAUCAGUAUUGCGGGCUGCAGACCGUAAUAUUAAUAACUCAUUCGUGGAUUCGUUAAGCAAGCAAACCGGUAGAUUAUUUUACGUUAGUAUUGUACUUAUUUGGAAUGCUUAAUAAUAAUAGAAUAUAUAUUGUAUCAGUUAAUUCUGUUCCAUUAGAUUGGUUGGUUAUAAUUGUGACAAGACGAAAUGUUAUGGGAAACCAGUACUUUCCAUCGAUCUGGAUGAACAGAGAUUACUUUUGUAAGUAUGCAAAAUGGAUUGAGUCAGGCUGUUAUUUAUGCUGUGAGAGCAAAGAGAUUGUUUUCGAAAGGCUGUCAAAAAUACUUAGCUCAUGUGGUGCUAAAUGAUGUUGUUUGGAGUAGUGUGAAUAAUGUCGAAAGAGUUAGACUUUUCUUGAUGUCUUCCUUGAAAGUAUACCUGGAUUGCCUUCAGGCAGAGAUAUGAGGUUCAUUAUUGAUUUGUUGCCAGGUAUAAAUUUAUAUUGGAGAUUGGUUCAGGAUGAGUUAAGGGAAUUGGAAAUUCAGUUGAGAGAAUUGGUUGAUAAAAGUUUUAUUCAACCUAGUACAACACUUUUGAGGAGCCCAGUUUGUUGGUGAGGAAGAAAAAUGGAUCUUGAGACUGUUCAUUGAUUAUAGACAAUGGAGUCGGGUAACGAUUGAGAACCGUUAUCCAUGGUGAUGUACUGAUGUUUAUUUAACCAGCUCAGAAGUAAAUUGCGAAGAUUCAAAGAUUGAAUUGAGAUCUGGUUACUACCAAUUGAAUAUUUUAAGUGACGUUGAUCAUAAGAUGGUUUUCUGGACUUGUUAUAGUCUUUAUGAAGUUUGGUGAUGCUAUAUGGAUACUCAUGCUGUUUUAUGAGUUGAUGGAUGAAGUAUUCCAAUAAUGCCUUGAUAAAUUGAUAUCAUUUUCAUUGACGAUAUUCUGGUAUACUCUAAGCUAGAGCAGAGCAUGUAAAUGUAUUAAGUCGAUGAAGCAAAGAUUGAGAGAACGUUGGUUGUAUGCUAAGUUUAGCAAAGGCUAAAGUUAAACGAAUCAAGUGGCAUUCUGAGAAUUGUUAUAUAUUCUUAAGGUAUUCAAGUGAAUCCUUAAAAGAUAGCAGAAAUUGAGAAAUUGGAACAACCACAAGCCAUAAUUGAGAUUCGGAAAUUCUUAACUUAUCAGGCUAUUUUGGAUGGUUGUGAAAGAAUUUUUAGUCAUUGUUUUGUCAUUGAUGAGACUGUUGAGAAAGGAGGUUAUGUAUGAGUGGGAAGGAAAUUGUGAGCAAAGGAUUCAACAACUGAAGUAUUUCCUCACUCAUGCACGUAUUUUAGUAAUCCCAGAGAAUAAUGGUAAUCAUAAAUUUUUAGUGAUGUUUCUUGAAUGGUAUUGGAUGCAUGUUGAUGCAAAUGUUAGGGUGAUUGCAUACGUUUCACGAUAAAUGGAACCUCAUGAGAUGAAUUACCCUACGGGUGACUUGGAAGUCAUGAUUACCAUUCUUGCUGUGAAGUUAUGAAGGCAUUAUAUUUGGUAAGAAUGCAAGAUUUUUACGAAUCCAAAAGUCUUCAAUAUCCAUUACUUGGAAGGAUUUUGAUAUGAGGCAGCGAAAGUGAAUUGUAUUGCUUAAUGAACAUGAUUGUACGAUCAGGGUGAUCGUAAAGUUUGUUCUAGCUCAAGCACUUGGCGAGAAGACUACAGUAAGAUUAAUGUCUGGCACGUUUGCCAAGAUUAUCUUCUUGUGGAUUGGAAAUCAACUGAAGUAAAGUUGAGAAUUGGAGAUCGAGAAGAAGCUCUACUUGCUAAUUUUCAAGUUAGGCCUGUUUGGUAAGGUCGUACUCGAGACUCAAAUGGUAUAUGGAUACAAGCAAACGAAAACGUAUGUGCCUAAUGCUGAGGAUUUAAAGCAAGCAAAUUUGGAUGAAGUACAUUGUUUAGCUUCUGCAAUAUUCCGGACGUAAUAAGAUUUAUUAUACCAUCCGACGUUGUAUCGGUCAGCAGAUUGAAGCAGAAAGAGAUAAACCUUUGGAUUGAGAUAAUUAUUUUCUGUUUCGCAGUGGAAACGGAAAGAUAUUACUUUGGAUUAUGUGUACAAGCUUCCUUGUACACAAGAUGGUUAUGAUCGAAUUUGAAGUGAUAGUUGGUCAAUGUACCAAGUUAGUACAAUUACUCCAGUGCUGAGUAAUAACUUUUUCCCAGACAGGGCAACGGUACUUAAUGUAUUUUGUGUUCGAUGCGUUGUCGCUAGGUGGCAGAGUCGUCACAUGAGAUUCUAGUGCAACUAUUGAGAAUUAAAUUGGAUUCGACUUGAUAAGGAACCAAGGACGACUUUGGAUUGGAAAAAAGAAGGUCCUAAGAAUUAAGACAGAGUAAGUAGUAAAAGCUUUGUGAAGGAAAUCAUUCAGUAGAAAAUUACAUGGGAGACAGAAGAACGGAUGAGAGUUAUGUAUCCGAGACUAUUUUAUGAGUUUUGAUGUUCUGGUUGGUGAUUGGAAUUUCGGGGACGAAAUUCUAUAAGGAGGGGAGAUUGUCACAGCCCGUCCCGGAAUUAUUAAUUCCGAGGACGUGAGAUGACCAAUGUGACCUUAAACGGGAUUAAGGUGUGUAAAUGUAUGACAUUUGUUUUACUUUAAGAUCCUAAACUAGGGUUAGAUUUAUAUUUGUAUGUGUUAAUUUGUGCUUGGACUUAGGUAGGGCCUCCUACCCUGAAUUCCCUCCCUAAAACCCGUAACCUUUCUUCUCUCUUCUUCUUUCAUUCCAGACUCUCUCUCUCUCUUAUUCUUUUCUGAAAACUCUCUCAUUCUCUCUCUUACUCUCGAACUCACGGCAACCACCAAGAACCACCACAAUCUUGUACCAACGUUCCAUUUAAGACCACCAUCGUGAUCCUGGGGACUUCACGAGCACGGGGAUACCAAUUUCAGGUGAGUUUCACUUCGAAAACCCUAGUUCUAAAGUUGCCGUGAGAUGACACUGUUCAUGAGCUUUGAAUUGGUUACGUUUUAGGCUAAAACAAGAUCACAGAGAGUUUAUUAAGGUCCCAAGGAAGCUCGGAGUGCUUCGUUGGAAGUUUUUGGACGUAAGAACACGGAGAUCGACAAGUUCAAAGUUUGGCCGGAGCUUUCGAGGCGUUUUCCGGCGAAUCCCCGGCGAGUUAGGAGUCGAGGUAGGUAUAAAUCUCUUCGUCUCGUCAAGUACUACAACUUUCCUUUUUGUUUCACUCAAUUUCGUUGAGUAUUGAAGAAGUUAUACUCAUUUGAAAAAUACCCAGUUUCCGGCGACCUCCGAGGCUUUCGAGGAAUUUUCCGGCCAAACCACGGCGAACUAGGUGUUGUGCAAGGUACCAUUCUCUUUGUCUCUUCAAGGGCUACAACUUUCGUUUUUGAAUCACUUGAUUUCGUUGAGAAAUGACAAAGUUAUGGCAAUUUGAAAAAACUGCCCGGAAAACGGCCGCCGGAAAAAACCAGUCCGGCGACCCAAGGAAGAAGAAGGUGCUACAGUAAAAAUAAAAAAUAAAAAUAAAAUUAUUUUUAAAAAUAUGUCGACGUCCGUGACGUCGAGUAGAUCACUGUGGUAUAUUCAUAUACCUAAAUUGAACACCGUAUGAGAAAGUUAUUGAGGAUUGUUGGUUAGGUGUUCAAAUAACGUUUUAUAGUUUUCACAUUUAGGUGAAAAUGUGAAUUGAUGAUCCGACCGUUGGAUCGUCACCAAACUUUGAUACGUUGUAAUACGUAAUAUUUGAGGAUUAUUGGAACUUACGGAUUGGGAAUCCGAGUUACGGAUCUUCCGGAAUUGGAAUUGUAAGUCCAUAAUAUAAAAUGUUAACCGUCACUUAGUUUUGGAAAUUGACGGAGACCCGACCGUUGGAUGGUAAUGAAAUUUUAGGAUGUUGUCCUAGAGGUAUAAUGUGGACCUCUGGAAGUUAUGGAUUUAAAAUCUGAGUGGCAGAUCUUCCGGAUCGAUCAACGUAGUGACGUAUUUUAUAUAAGUUAUGUAUUCUAUCGAUAUGAAUUCUGAGCCUGGAUUUGAUUACUAUUCUAGGCGGCGAUCGUCAUGACGCCUUGAUGUGUGGUGCUAGGGAGUUUUUGGACGAACUCCAGGUGAGUGGGCAGUUUUGUUUUCCGUAUAUAUAUAUACUUGACGUUUCCCAGAAAUUGAAUUGAAAUGAAAAUAUGUUUAAAAUGAAAUGCAUAUGAGUUAUGUGGAAAAACGGGAAGUGAAAUACCAUGCAUAGAAUUGAUAUGAAAAGUAUAUAGAAAUGUGAGUUGAAAUGCCAUGCAUGAAUUAAUAUAUGAUGCAUAUGUAUGAAUUGGUGCGGUGGACGCACAGGUAAGAAUUGAUUUAUGAUGCAUAUGUAUGAAAUGGUGCGGUGGACGCACAGAUGAGUAUUUAAUUACUGUUAUGAUGAUGAUGAUAUAUAUUGAGCUCAAAUCCUGCACCAUGGUUUAGUGCUUAUAGUAUUCACCGCAUCGCACGCUCGCCUUGGAUCCAAGUAGAUGCUAGUCGUACAGUCCACGCGGAGUGGGUACGACAGACCAGUCGCGAGAGUGUUAGUGAGAUUCCGACUGGUGGGUGACCUUAGAUUAUGUGCACAGAUGAUUUAUGAGAAGCACUAGAGCGUAACUUGCGUGCAGAAGGCCGGACGGGUCACAGAGGUGACUCCGGUAGAGUGAUAAUGAUAGAUUUUGAGCUCUAGGUUCAACCGUACAGGGCUAUUAGAGGGCCUACGGUUGAUUACUUUCUUGCACCUGAUAUGAUUAUGUUGAUGCAUUCAUACCUUAUUACUGUUGAGAUGAUGUGGCAUGGCAUAAUUAAUAUGAGAAAUGUUGAGAUGAUGUGGCAUGGCAUAAUUGUUAUGAAAAUGUUGAGUUAACGACUUGAAGUCUUGAGAAUAUAUAUGUAUAUUUAUAUUUUACAUUUCUGGGAAAGUAUACAGGUUUUACGGAGAGGGGUUACAACGUUUUGAGAAAUGUUUGGAUUUGGAAAAAGAAUUGUUUUACUGACCCACUCAAUUUUGGUUUUGCGCCCCUCCAGGUUCAGGAAUCACAAAGGUGUGGUGACUACGAGGAAUUCGACGGUGUUCUGACAGAUUGGACAAAAUUAGGACUCACCUUCGGGUGUAUCAACUUAUAAAUUGUAU